rnacentral:tRNA from 1 species
UGGUAGGUUAAGAUUAAACUGCGGGGUUCAUGUCCCCAUCAUACACUAUGUGUCCAGUUAA